CUAUAGUCGUCGGAUGAAAAAGCUCCCGAACACUUUUUGGAUGAAUUGAUGAGUUGACAAACACAUAGCACCUUUAAGAAGCUUCAAGUGCUUGUAUGUGUUUUGACCAUUCGUCUUGGAAAGUGUUUGAACACAUUGGUCUUUCU
ensembl:ncRNA C06G1.16 ncRNA